rnacentral:rRNA from 1 species
AACGAACGCUGGCGGCAUGCCUAACACAUGCAAGUCGAACGCGUGGCUUCGGCCACGAGUGGCGCACGGGUGAGUAACGCGUGGGAACCUGCCCCGAGGUGGGGGAUAACCGAUGGAAACGUCGGCUAAUACCGCAUACGUCCUAAGGGAGAAAGAUUUAUCGCCUUGGGAGGGGCCCGCGUCGGAUUAGCUAGUUGGUGGGGUAACGGCCUACCAAGGCGAUGAUCCGUAGCUGGUCUGAGAGGAUGAUCAGCCACACUGGGACUGAGACACGGCCCAGACUCCUACGGGAGGCAGCAGUGGGGAAUAUUGGACAAUGGGCGCAAGCCUGAUCCAGCAAUGCCGCGUGAGUGAUGAAGGCCUUAGGGUUGUAAAGCUCUUUCGGCGGGGACGAUGAUGACGGUACCCGCAGAAGAAGCCCCGGCUAACUUCGUGCCAGCAGCCGCCGUAAG